rnacentral:lncRNA from 1 species
GAUCAAUUGCAGGAUCCCAGAGCAAGGCCAGAACCCCGUAUGUAGAACUUCUCGCGAGCUCCCACGAGAUGUGGACGACAUAAAGGAAGUCCGGACGCCCUGGGAACCUCGCUGUGGUGAAUUCCCAUAUCCUUCGUUGUGUUUCUCAGACGCAGCGUGUACUUUUAUUUUUGCUUUUAUCUUCUUUUUCUCCUGUUCUGCCCACGUUCUCUCUGCAGAGUUAGUUUCUCCCAUAUCCAUUCAGCCAGCACUUUUCAAAUAAACUUUUUGGCCACAUUUUUGGCUUGUCUCAUCCAAUUCUUUGUUCCAGGCAAGAAGGACCUGGACUACUUUGGAUUGGCGAACCAUUGCUAAAGGAACUACCAGACAACAGAGGCACUGAACAGAUACUAUUUGCCAGAAAGAUUUCACCUCUUUGAGUACUGAAGACUUUCGUUUCAUAAGAUUAAAUUUAAUGCCAGAUCUGCUAGCCUCUGGAAUAGCAUAUCAGAGGGGCCAGGAGAAGACCUAUGGCUCAAUAUCACUGCAAACUGGAGCGACGAAUCUGAGAGCGAAGCAAAGAUAUUAUAGCUUGAGCUUCGAAAAGAAGACGAGAUGUAAAUUCUUUACUGGAACUGGAGGAAAAAGAGAUGCACAUCAGGAAACAGCUGAUAAUGUGAAUCUGGAGUAUGAUCCAACAAGAGCAAGGGUUUGCCUUUAACCAAGUCAGAAAGGACCCAGUCUUUGUGGUGAGUCAGGGGCUGUUUCUAAAAUGUCCAGGUCAGGGUGUGGAUUCAGCCAGCCAAGGCAGUGGCACAGUUUCUAGAGAGAGACGGGGCUCGCUCUCUCCUCCUGGCCUGCAGGUAGGAAACUCAGAGGCAGGGAAGACUCCAGGAGGUCCUUCCAGCAGAGGUCAGCAGGCCCAGCAUCCAGGAGGCCAGGGGAUCAGGAGACACCCAAGCACACAAGCACAGCAUCCGCUCUGUGUGGCUUGAAACUGAAAACCGAGAAUCGAAGUGAAGGGACAAGAAGGCAGGAGGGCGCCAGAUUUUCCACCCAUACCCAACCCAGAUUGCUGUGUGAAUUCCUCCUAACUGGCACGUUAGAAGAAACAAGGCCUUCCUUGAAGGCACCUGUCGCAUGAGCCUGAUAUUUGGAAAGAAACACGCAGUUGUGAAUCCUCUUUUGCAGUGUCCUCACAUCUCAUGACCCUUACCUCUGUAUAUUUAAUUUCUUACUCUUUUUGUUUUCUCAAAUAUUUUGUUGUGAGCACUAAGCAAAGUGUAUUGUAAGCCUCCAGAUCAUGACAAAUCCACUCUCUUGAAUGAACAUGUGUGAUAUAAAAACAGCUUUCCAGAGCUGGAAGACACUGUAGAGCCACGGUUUCACAUGCCCACUCUCCUUAGUCCUGUUGUCUUGGUGUAAUAAUUAAUAGCUUCUUCUUUUCAUCCUCAAAGUGCCCCUGUGGGACAAUGGCUAUCACACCACGAUGCUGUCCAACUCUUCAUUAUAAAGAUAAAGAAAGGCUCAGCAUGUUCAAAAUCUCCAUCACCAAGCUGAAAAGUCAGAAAUAGAAAUGGAGAAAAACAUUUGAAAGGGGUGACAUCAAAGUAGGUGAUAUGAUGACUAAUUGUAUCUAGGCUGGAAGUAGGAAAAAAUAAAGCCAGACAGUGGUAGAAAGGCGGGAAAGCAGGAGAAGGGAAUGAGCAAGGGAUUAGAGAAAGAACAGGGAAAUUAGGAGUUGUGGAAGCAGAGAACUCAAAGGACAGGCAGUUGAGGUGAGAGCUAGGAUGUUCAGUUUAUGAUUUCCCAGGUGGGGCAUUCAUCGUGUGGCUAGUGGGGUCGUGGGAGUUCCUUACAGAAGAAGAAUGACCCAUUGAAGGAUGAACUGAAGAGGGAUUAAUGAAGCCACUGUUUGCAGAGGUAUUGGUAGGAUGACGUGAAAACAAAACACCAAGGGUUGUGAGGCACCCACUGAACAGCAGAGAUGGAAAGCCAGCUUAUUUUCAUCCCCAGGCCUGACGGACGCAGGACAGGGAGAAGUGUCAGCAGAGCCUGGCAGUGAUGGCAGCCGCAGGAGAGGGCCUGCUCUGGCUACAAAUAGAUGGACUCAGCGAUGACUGAAGCUGUGGCUGGAAAAGGGAAUGUGAGCAUGAGUCACAGUCUCUUCUUUCCCUGGAAUUUACAGCCCAGGCCUUCUGUUGGUUAAGUCUAUUGGAAAGCAGAAAGAAACAGAGAAUUUUGGUGUUGCCUGUAUCUUAUAUCUCUAUUAUUUACAAAUUAUAAUCUUUAUAUGGGCCGUUUUAGAGUAACAAGGACUAGAUAGACAUUCUACCUUUGACACCUGUAAGACCAGAGAAACAAAGCACACGAAGCAAGUUUUUUUUUUUUUUUUGGUAUCAGGGAUCGAACUUGGGACCUUGCACUUGCGAGGCAGGUGGUGGAACCACUGAGCUACAUCCCUGGCCCUGAAGCAAGUUUCUAUUUUUAUAUAUUUAUUUUUUUGCGGUUCCGGGGAUUGAACUGAGAACCUUGUGCUUGCGAGGCAGGCACGUUGCCACUGAGCUAAAUCCCCGGCCCCUGAAGCAAGUUUUUAAACAUGGUUGUGCUGGUCAGCUUUUCCUUGCUGUGACAAAAUAGUUGGUGAUGAGCAACUUAAAGGAAGGAAUUCUUAAGAAUUCCAAAUAUUUAUAACAAGGGGUCCCUUAAGCACAAAUAUGAGAAAACUGUUCCAGGAUGAGAAAAGAGCCACUGUAAAAUGUAGGUAGAAUAAUUAAUCGUUGGAGUUUAGACAGGCUCGGAAUAAUUUAUGUUUCCAUUAGCCACAGUGAAAAGUCUUCCCUGAUGCCACGGGCCCAGCCUGAAGAUGGUCCUUUGCCUCCUGCCUACUCCCUUUCUCCUCCAUAGACCAGCAGACAGUCAGACAGAUCUGUUUGAGUAAGAUUGUAGACCUGGAUGGCACAGCCCCAGUGACAGUUACAUUGUAUCCUUCUUCCUUGUUCCCCUUCUGUGCAUGUCUGGAUCAGUUCAGCCUAGGCCACAUAGGCCACGUAGCAUUAGUUACCCCGUCUUCUCUUCCUGUUUGUCUUACACUAUGAAGAGCGCUAGACUCCAGGCGGCCAUUAGCUCAACAGGUUAUGGUUCCACCUGGUCCCAGCUUUCAAGCCUAAUUUUGGUACGUAUCCUUCUUUCUUGUUGAAUCAAAUUGAUUCAUGAUAACUAAAUUGUCCCAGAAAAAGCAUCACAAUUUAAAAAUAACAUAACAAAAUCCAGCAACCAAAAAUAUCUUAGAAGAUAUAUAUUAGAUAUAUAUUAGAAUAAGCCUAGAAGGCUUAUUAUACAAACAGAAGGUUAUCAAACGUUAAAAGAAAUGGGAAAAUGAGAACCAUGAGGAGAGAAAUCAAUUGCUAAAAAAAGAUAGAACAAAACAAAAAUCCCAAACUGAGAAAUAACCCGGAUGUUAGACUUAGCAAAUAAAAAUGGUAAAACUGUUAUUACAAAUAUAUUCUCUGUUUAAAAAGAUAAAGGAUAAUAUGAAUACAAUGAAGAGAUGGAAAAUACAAAAAGCCUAGAGUGGAAUGAUACAAAAUUCAGAACACUGUGAAAUAGUCAAGAGACCAUUUAAAAGUGAAGGUAAUAAAGCCAAGUUUAGACAUUCAAAAACUAAACAAAUUCACUAACAGCAGAUCUACACUACAGGAAUUAUUAAAGGAUAUCUUUCAGGCAGAAAAAAGGGAUAUCAGAGGAAUCUGGACCUAUACAAAGGAAUGAAGAUCUCUGGAAAAUGAUAUUUUUAUGAGGAAGAUGACUUAUUUUACUUAAAUCUCUUGAAAGAGUAAUGGGCUUUUAUAUGUUUUGAGGGAUAAAUAGGCAAAUAUUCAUCUUGGAGUUUAUCAGAACUCAGAAAAACUGCAAAUACAACAAUGUAGAAAGGAUAUAUUACAUAAAGAAAGUUCACAAUGAAAUUAAAAUUCAGUAAUAUUUUAGACAUUAUAUAAUUUGCAUCCUCAAAUGAAAAAAUAUUUCCUGAAAUCAAUAUUGCACGUCUAAUUAGGAAAAAUUUUGAAUACAUGUAUCAGGAGAAAAAAUAAAAAAUUACCUACUAUAUUAUGCAUGUAUCUUUCUGCUCCUUCUCCCCUCCUUUCUCUCUCAAGUAUAAACAGUUUCGCGGCCCCUAUAAGGAAUGUGCAUUUUUGCUUAUAUUCUCUUAUUCUUAGAUUUUGAGCAUUUUCUGAGCCUAAAUGUCUUUGAAAUGUAUACUUUAAAAUCUGUCAAAUGUUCUGUUGUAAGUAUGCACAAUAAUUAAACAAUUCAUCUACAAUAUAUCAUUCAGGUUGUUGCUAUAUUUUCACUUGAAUAAAU